rnacentral:lncRNA from 1 species
CAGGGCUCAGGCCCCACUGCCCCACGGCCAAGUGGACAAUGAAGACGCUCAGCCCGCCAGCAAGGGCUGUGACUCACAGGUUGUGAGGCCAGGCAGGGCCCCAAGCUCAGCCCCCGAGGCCCCAGCCAUUCAACCUGGGCAGUAAAGGGCUCCGAGUUCCGGGGCCCCUUCAGAUACCGGCUCUGCUCCCGGACUCUGGGGACGACCCAAUGGGCCCGCUCUGGCAAAUGUGUCCAUAGAGCUUUGGCCGCCCCUCCUGCCAAGCAGCCGUCUCUGGAAAUGAGCAUUUGGAAGAUUAGCCCUGACCUAACAUCUGCCACCAAUCCUCCUCUUUUGCUGAGGAAGACUGGCCCUGAGCUAACAUCUGUGCCCAUUUUCCUCUGUUUUACAUGUGGGACGCCUGCCACAGCAUGGCUUGAUAAGCAGUGCAUAGGUCCACAGCCGGGGUUCUGAACCGAAGAACCUCAAGCGCUGAAGUAGAGCACAUGAACUUAACCACUUUGCCAGUGGGCCAGCCCUCAAUAUUUCUAAUUCUUGAUUAUAAAAUGUGAUUGCAGACCUUAGGGCAAAGCUGGUGUGUGCCUCCUACUCUCUCAUCCUGGCCCCACCUGGGCUUUGUUUGCUCUCAGACAAGUCCCUUAACCUCUUCGUAGGGGACCCUUCUCUCUGGAAACUUCCCUCCACUCCCAACCCCUCCCCUCAUGGCCGCAGAGUCAGGAGAAUGGGCCUCUGUGCGAUGCGAUUCCCACUCCUGCCCCCUCACCUGACUCAGCUGGGCCAUCGGACCAUCUCCCGUGAAGACCUGUGCCCGGGUCCAAGGGGCAGCCUGUUAGCCUCCUCAAGGGCCUGGGCCUGUGACUGUUGGCCUUGGACCCAUGGGCAGCCAGCAUCUUUGGCCAAGGGACUGGGUAUCAAAAAGAGCCAUUAUGAAGGGAGAGAAGAAUGAGUUGUAUGUAUGGGAAGAGCAGAAACAAGGAACCCUGGGUUUCUAAAGGCUUUGCAGUGUCUAACUCCAGUCCCUUUCCAAAAAUUGACUACAUGCCUUGGGUUCCAUGAGACACUCCUGCACAGUUAUAACAAAUUCUCCUCCUCUUCCUUUUUUUUUUUUUAACCUAAGCUAACCCAGAAUGGGUUGUACCACUUGCACUUGUAGAGUUAUAACUAAUAUACCCUGUAAAAUAUGAGUCCAAAACAGUUCACAGGAGUAUUAUAAGAAUAAAUUGAGAUAUUUGUAUGAAUAUGCCAUAGAAGUACUAAUGUGAAUUAUCUUACGGUAUUAAUAUUAUUAUUACUA